GGAGUAAAGCUUGCCGUGAGAAGUCAGCAGACGCCAUAGUAGUGGAGUACUCGAUAGCGCUCCAUGAAGGGC
rfam:Prevotella disiens FB035-09AN ctg1125417240308, whole genome shotgun sequence.